rnacentral:sRNA from 1 species
CCAAAAUGCUAACCCAGAUUCUUCUUGCUCUUCAAAGCUUUGAUGGUGUAACCUAAGUCCGUAUGAUUUUUGGUUUUGGAUCUUCUAAUAGGGAAAGAUAAAUUUAGGUUCAUAGCCCUGGUUGUGGUUUUAGCCCUAAAACUCAAUCAUCCACCUAUCAUCUUGAGAUAUUUGAUUCCAAAACGCUUACAAAGAUUGUGCUUACUUUUUAAAGUAUAU